GUGCUUUCUUUGGCAGCCCAUAUACUAAAAUUGGAACAACACAGAAAAGAUUAGCACAGCCCCUGCACAAGGAUGAUACACAAAUUUGUGAAGCAUUCCAAUACGUC